rnacentral:rRNA from 1 species
AUUGAACGCUGGCGGCAGGCCUAACACAUGCAAGUCGAACGAGUGGCGGACGGGUGAGUAAUGUCUGGGAAACUGCCCGAGGGAGGGGGAUAACUACUGGAAACGGUAGCUAAUACCGCAUACCAUCGGAUGUGCCCAGGUGGGAUUAGCUAGUGGGGGGGGUAACGGCCCACCCAGGCGACGAUCCCUAGCUGGUCUGAGAGGAUGAUCAGCCACACUGGAACUGAGACACGGUCCAGACUCCUACGGGAGGCAGCAGUGGGGAAUAUUGCACAAUGGGCGAAAGCCUGAUGCAGCCAUGCCGCGUGUGUGAAGAAGGCCUUCGGGUUGUAAAGUACUUUCAGCGGGGAGGCGUUACUCGCAGAAGAAGCACCGGCUAACUCCGUGCCAGCAGCCGCGGUAAUAC